AAAUUGAAGAGUUUGAUCAUGGCUCAGAUUGAACGCUGGCGGCAGGCCUAACACAUGCAAGUCGAGCGGUAGCACAGAGAGCUUGCUCUCGGGUGACGAGCGGCGGACGGGUGAGUAAUGUCUGGGAAACUGCCUGAUGGAGGGGGAUAACUACUGGAAACGGUAGCUAAUACCGCAUAAUGUCGCAAGACCAAAGUGGGGGACCUUCGGGCCUCAUGCCAUCAGAUGUGCCCAGAUGGGAUUAGCUAGUAGGUGGGGUAACGGCUCACCUAGGCGACGAUCCCUAGCUGGUCUGAGAGGAUGACCAGCCACACUGGAACUGAGACACGGUCCAGACUCCUACGGGAGGCAGCAGUGGGGAAUAUUGCACAAUGGGCGCAAGCCUGAUGCAGCCAUGCCGCGUGUGUGAAGAAGGCCUUCGGGUUGUAAAGCACUUUCAGCGGGGAGGAAGGCGAUAAGGUUAAUAACCUUGCGAUUGACGUUACCCGCAGAAGAAGCACCGGCUAACUCCGUGCCAGCAGCCGCGGUAAUACGGAGGGUGCAAGCGUUAAUCGGAAUUACUGGGCGUAAAGCGCACGCAGGCGGUCUGUCAAGUCGGAUGUGAAAUCCCCGGGCUCAACCUGGGAACUGCAUUCGAAACUGGCAGGCUAGAGUCUUGUAGAGGGGGGUAGAAUUCCAGGUGUAGCGGUGAAAUGCGUAGAGAUCUGGAGGAAUACCGGUGGCGAAGGCGGCCCCCUGGACAAAGACUGACGCUCAGGUGCGAAAGCGUGGGGAGCAAACAGGAUUAGAUACCCUGGUAGUCCACGCCGUAAACGAUGUCGAUUUGGAGGUUGUGCCCUUGAGGCGUGGCUUCCGGAGCUAACGCGUUAAAUCGACCGCCUGGGGAGUACGGCCGCAAGGUUAAAACUCAAAUGAAUUGACGGGGGCCCGCACAAGCGGUGGAGCAUGUGGUUUAAUUCGAUGCAACGCGAAGAACCUUACCUGGUCUUGACAUCCACAGAACUUUCCAGAGAUGGAUUGGUGCCUUCGGGAACUGUGAGACAGGUGCUGCAUGGCUGUCGUCAGCUCGUGUUGUGAAAUGUUGGGUUAAGUCCCGCAACGAGCGCAACCCUUAUCCUUUGUUGCCAGCGGUCCGGCCGGGAACUCAAAGGAGACUGCCAGUGAUAAACUGGAGGAAGGUGGGGAUGACGUCAAGUCAUCAUGGCCCUUACGACCAGGGCUACACACGUGCUACAAUGGCAUAUACAAAGAGAAGCGACCUCGCGAGAGCAAGCGGACCUCAUAAAGUAUGUCGUAGUCCGGAUUGGAGUCUGCAACUCGACUCCAUGAAGUCGGAAUCGCUAGUAAUCGUAGAUCAGAAUGCUACGGUGAAUACGUUCCCGGGCCUUGUACACACCGCCCGUCACACCAUGGGAGUGGGUUGCAAAAGAAGUAGGUAGCUUAACCUUCGGGAGGGCGCUUACCACUUUGUGAUUCAUGACUGGGGUGAAGUCGUAACAAGGUAACCGUAGGGGAACCUGCGGUUGGAUCACCUCCUUA
rnacentral:rRNA from 1 species